rnacentral:rRNA from 1 species
CUUCUUGAUAAUAUAAGAAGUCGGGCCUGUUCACUGAUAAUUUAAAGAACUGCGGUAUUUUGACCGUGCAAAGGUAGCAUAAUCAUUAGUUUUUUAAUUGAAAGCUUGUAUGAAUGGUUUGACGAAAUUUUAACUGUCUCUUAUAUAUGAAUUGAAUUUUAUUUUUAAGUUAAAAAGCUUAAAUGAUAAUGGGGGACGAGAAGACCCUAUAGAUUUUUAUAUAUUUAUUUUAAAUAAAAUAUUUAGUUUAUAUUAUUUUUUUAACUAUAAAUAUAUUUUGUUGGGGUGACAUGGAAAAUAUUUAACUUUCUUGUUUUAAAACUUAUAUAAUUGGUUAAUAGAUCCUUUAUUAUGGAUUAUAGAUUAAAAUACCUUAGGGAUAACAGCGUUAUUUUAUUUGAGAGUUCUUAUUGAUAAUAAAGAUUGCGACCUCGAUGUUGGAUUAAGAUUACUAUUGGAUGAAGAAGUUUAAUUAGUUGGUCUGUUC